CAUCAUAAUCUGCUACAAUAUGCAGAUGUCUAUUCAUGAAGGGCCAUUCCAUGGAUUGGAGAGGAAUGCACUGAAGAUAAAAGACAAACUGGUGGGUGGUGGUCAUUACUAGUCUUUUCUCCUUGAGGGCUCCUUUCCUAGUUCCAAACACGGCUCAGCUAAGAACAAGAAUAGGUCCUUUCAGGAGCAUCAGUGCAGAUCAUCAUAAUCUGCUACAAUAUGCAGAUGUCUAUUCAUGAAGGGCCAUUCCAUGGAUUGGAGAGGAAUGCACUGAAGAUAAAAGACAAACUGGUGGGUGGUGGUCAUUACUAGUCUUUCUCCUUGAGGGCUCCUUUCCUAGUUCCAAACACGGCUCAGCUAAGAACAAGAAUAGGUAAUCAAUUUGAAGUCUUCCAAAUCUUGAACAUCUGUUGUUUCUUAUGUCUGCUGAGGAAUUUCCUAACACUGGCUGGAAAAUGUGGUAACCACCCUGAGAAGACGCGUAGGUAAGAACACCGGGGUAGACUGAGAAGGAGGAAACCAUUGUACCGCAUCAGCCAUGACAUGGAAACCAUUUAGGCCCCUGGUCCCCAUCAUGUCUAGUCCCCAUUUCGUUGCAGAAAAGUCUGGAAUUUAAGCCUAGCCAUUCAUUAUU